rnacentral:rRNA from 1 species
ACGCUUUGUGGUUCAACUGAUUUGAAGAGCUUGCUCAGAUAUGACGAUGGACAUUGCAAAGAGUGGCGAACGGGUGAGUAACACGUGGGAAACCUACCUCUUAGCAGGGGAUAACAUUUGGAAACAGAUGCUAAUACCGUAUAACAAUAGCAACCGCAUGGUUGCUACUUAAAAGAUGGUUCUGCUAUCACUAAGAGAUGGUCC